GCGGUCGUGGCGGAAUUGGUAGACGCGCAGCGUUGAGGUCGCUGUGGGGGUAACUCCCGUGGAAGUUCGAGUCUUCUCGACCGCACCA
rnacentral:tRNA from 1 species